UACGGAGGGGGCCAGCGUUGUUCGGAAUUACUGGGCGUAAAGCGCACGUAGGCGGCUUUGCAAGUCAGAGGUGAAAGCCCGGGGCUCAACCCCGGAAUUGCCUUUGAGACUGCAUCGCUAGAAUUGUGGAGAGGUAAGUGGAAUUCCGAGUGUAGAGGUGAAAUUCGUAGAUAUUCGGAAGAACACCAGUGGCGAAGGCGACUCACUGGACACGUAUUGACGCUGAGGUGCGAAAGCGUGGGGAGCAAACAGG
rnacentral:rRNA from 1 species